AUUGAACGCUGGCGGCAGGCUUAACACAUGCAAGUCGAGCGGAGACUUCGGUCUUAGCGGCGAAACGGGGUGAGGAAUGCCUGGGAAUCUGCCUGGUAUGGGGGAUAACGUUCCGAAAGGAACGCUAAUACCGCAUACGUCCUACGGGAGAAAGCAGGGGACCUUCGGGCCUUGCGCUAUCAGAUGAGCCCAGGUCGGAUUAGCUAGUAGGUGAGGUAAAGGCUCACCUAGGCGACGAUCCGUAGCUGGUCUGAGAGGAUGAUCAGCCACACUGGAACUGAGACACGGUCCAGACUCCUACGGGAGGCAGCAGUGGGGAAUAUUGGGACAAUGGGCGAAAGCCUGAUCCAGCCAUGACCGCGU
rnacentral:rRNA from 1 species